AUUUGUUGUGUUUCUCGCCUUGUAGGACUACCUUUUAGUGGAUUUUGCCACAUUCCCAGAUCUCAGCCCAGAUGUUACAACCACACCACCCUGAGAAUGCUGGAUCUUGUCCGAUCUCUGAAACUAUGCUGUAAGCUUUGAUCACUGUCCUGCUGCGCUGAUGGGAGACUGAGUCUAAAAAGAGCUAGGAUUCCCCGAGUAUGGAUGUGGACACCUUCAAAUUAAAGCUGAAGAUGUGUGUGGCUGUCCUGGAGGUCUGUUUUAAACCAGUCUGAUCUUCUGACAGUGAUGCAAGAUCUUGGCCACUAAUGUGGUGAGUACAACUUUACCAUAACC